AGGGGAUCACCAGCUGGGGAGGGGGCUCCUGCUGGGGGCCACCUGGCUUAGGGCCGCCAUCGCCUUUCUUUCCCCAGGCGUCUAGCACGUUCUUCCGGGCACUGCCUUUUCUACCCCAGUUGUGAGGUUGAGAGUGGCCACAGAUCUCUUUCACAUCCUGCCCACCGCCUCACGGCCCGUGGAUCCCAGCCAGGUUUUUUUAAUCACUCGCAACCUGAAAGAUCCUGAGGAAUUCAGAAGGACAGAUACGAGUGGCCACGAGGAGCAGAAGCGGGAGGCUCUGCGGCGGCAGUCACAGGGGACUCUGCAGUUCCCAGCGACAUUUCUCUUUUCUGGGCCUUGCCUCAAGCUGCCUCCCUGCCGGAGUCCUUCCCUCCCUGCCUGGGCCACUCAGACCCCCGUCUCUGCCUGACCCGCGCCAUCCCAGCGGCACCCCUGCCACACCUCAGCCCCCGGGAGGGGUUGUCUCUGCAGUCCCGUCACAGUUCGCAGUUGUUUCCACAGAGAUGGGUGCUUCUCGCUGAGCUCAGAGCCAUGAAAUUAUUUAGGGAUAGCAAUGCUCAGGUAAAGGACUCCAGUCUCCAGCCUCCCUUUCUGGCUGAUAAAUUCACAGUACUCAGAUGUGAUGGCUGGAGCUCUAGCAGUCACUUUGGAGUAGGAGGCUGAGGGACGUAUCCUAGAUGGCUGCUUUGAAGAGGAAGGAGGCUGCACUGUGGAUGCACACCUUUGUGGAGCUCUUAUACCAGCCCAGGACACUUUUCACAGAGAAACAAAUAAAACUUCU